UUCAUCUCUGGGCCAAACUUU
ensembl:piRNA 21ur-5733 ncRNA